rnacentral:rRNA from 1 species
GAUGAACGCUAGCGGCAGGCCUAACACAUGCAAGUCGAGGGGUAACUAGAGUGAUAGCAAUAUUACUUUGGCUAGACCGGCGCACGGGUGCGUAACACGUAUGCAACCUACCUUAUACUGGGGAAUAACUUCGAGAAAUCGGCGCUAAUACCCCAUAACAUUGCGAAGAGGCAUCUCUUUGCAAUUAAAGCUCCGGCGGUAUAAGAUGGGCAUACGUCCAAUUAGCUAGUUGGUGAGGUAACGGCUCACCAAGGCUACGAUUGGUAGGGGUUCUGAGAGGAUGAUCCCCCACACGGGUACUGAGACACGGACCAGACUCCUACGGGAGGCAGCAGUGAGGAAUAUUGCGCAAUGGACGAAAGUCUGACGCAGCCAUGCCGCGUGCAGGAUGACGGCCCUAUGGGUUGUAAACUGCUUUUGUACGGGAAUAAACCCUUCUACGUGUAGGAGGCUGAAGGUACCGUAAGAAUAAGCACCGGCUAACUCCGUGCCAGCAGCCGCCGUAA